rnacentral:tRNA from 1 species
CCGACCUUAGCUCGGUUGGUAGAGCGGAGGACUGUAGAUCCUUAGGUCGCUGGUUCGAAUCCGGCAGGUCGGA